GAGACGUUAUCUAAGAACGGCAGCGGGCCCUUCGGGGUGCCGGCGAGUGGCGAACGGGUGAGUAAUGCAUCGGAACGUACCCGGGAGUGGGGGAUAACCGGCCGAAAGGCUGGCUAAUACCGCAUGAUCUCGGAAGAGCAAAGCGGGGGACCUUCGGGCCUCGCGCUCUCGGAGCGGCCGAUGUCCGAUUAGCUAGUUGGUGAGGUAACGGCUCACCAAGGCGACGAUCGGUAGCGGGUCUGAGAGGACGAUCCGCCACACUGGGACUGAGACACGGCCCAGACUCCUACGGGAGGCAGCAGUGGGGAAUCUUGGACAAUGGGCGCAAGCCUGAUCCAGCAAUGCCGCGUGGGUGAAGAAGGCCUUCGGGUUGUAAAGCCCUUUCGGCGGGGAAGAAAUCGGCCGGGCGAAUAGUUCGGCUGGAUGACGGUACCCGCAGAAGAAGCACCGGCUAACUACGUGCCAGCAGCCGCGGUAAUACGUAGGGUGCGAGCGUUAAUCGGAAUUACUGGGCGUAAAGGGUGCGCAGGCGGCUGUGUAAGACCGGUGUGAAAUCCCCGGGCUCAACCUGGGAAUGGCGCUGGUGACUGCACGGCUCGAGUACGGUAGAGGGGGGGUGGAAUUCCUGGUGUAGCAGUGAAAUGCGUAGAGAUCAGGAGGAACACCGAUGGCGAAGGCAGCCCCCUGGGCCUGUACUGACGCUCAUGCACGAAAGCGUGGGGGAGCAAACAGGAUUAGAUACCCUGGUAGUCCACGCCCUAAACGAUGAGAACUAGCCGU
rnacentral:rRNA from 1 species